UACGAAGGGGGCUAGCGUUGUUCGGAAUUACUGGGCGUAAAGCGCACGUAGGCGGACUAUUAAGUCAGGGGUGAAAUCCCGGGGCUCAACCCCGGAACUGCCUUUGAUACUGGUAGUCUCGAGUCCGGAAGAGGUGAGUGGAAUUCCGAGUGUAGAGGUGAAAUUCGUAGAUAUUCGGAGGAACACCAGUGGCGAAGGCGGCUCACUGGUCCGGUACUGACGCUGAGGUGCGAAAGCGCGGGGAGCAAACAGG
rnacentral:rRNA from 1 species